rnacentral:rRNA from 1 species
GUCCACGCCGUAAACGGUGGGCACUAGGUGUGGCGGGUGUUGACCCCUGCCGUGCCGAAGCUAACGCAUUAAGUGCCCCGCCUGGGGAGUACGGCCGCAAGGUUAAAACUCAAAGGAAUUGACGGGGGCCCGCACAAGCGGUGGAGCAUGUGGUUUAAUUCGACGCAACGCGAAGAACCUUACCUGGGUUUGACAUCCCCCUGACCUCCGCAGAGAUGCGGCUUUCCCUUCGGGGACAGGGAGACAGGUGCUGCAUGGCUGUCGU